CGCUUUAAGAAAUCCAAAGGGACAGAUGAACAAUCUCUUUUUGAUGGCCUGUUCAUUGCACAAGAUGCCCAAGUGUCUGCCUUUGUGGAUCAGACAAGAAGCCAGAUGACGAUUAGAACUGGUCAUGAUGUAUGUGGGCCGGCAACUUUUACUGCAGGGCGAGAAACCUCCCAGAAGU